UACGGGGGGGGCAAGCGUUGUUCGGAAUUACUGGGCGUAAAGGGCUCGUAGGCGGCCGACUAAGUCAGACGUGAAAUCCCCCGGCUUAACCGGGGAACUGCGUCUGAUACUGGACGGCUUGAAUUCGGGAGAGGGAUGCGGAAUUCCAGGUGUAGCGGUGAAAUGCGUAGAUAUCUGGAGGAACACCGGUGGCGAAGGCGGCAUCCUGGACCGACAAUGACGCUGAGGAGCGAAAGCCAGAGGAGCAAACGGG
rnacentral:rRNA from 1 species